CCUACGGGUGGCAGCAGUGAGGAAUAUUGGUCAAUGGACGAGAGUCUGAACCAGCCAAGUAGCGUGAAGGAUGACUGCCCUAUGGGUUGUAAACUUCUUUUAUAUGGGAAUAAAAUGUUCCACGUGUGGGAUUUUGUAUGUACCAUAUGAAUAAGGAUCGGCUAACUCCGUGCCAGCAGCCGCGGUAAUACGGAGGAUCCGAGCGUUCUCCGGUUUUAUUGGGUUUAAAGGGAGCGUAGGUGGAUUGUUAAGUCCGGUGUGAAAGUUUGCGGCUCAACCGUAAAAUUGCAGUUGAAACUGGCAGUCUUGAGUACAGUAGAGGUGGGCGGAAUUCGUGGUGUAGCGGUGAAAUGCUUAGAUAUCACGAAGAACUCCGAGUGCGAAGGCAGUUCACUGGACUGCAACUGACACUGAGGCUCGAAAGUGUGGGUAUCAAACAGGAUUAGAUACCCCAGUAGUC
rnacentral:rRNA from 1 species